UGAGCAAUCUGCCCUUCUCAUCGGAAUAAGCGUUGGAAACGACGUCUAAUGCCGAAUACGACCUCCUUUCGCAUGAUCGGAGGUGGAAAGCUCCGGCGGAGAAGGAUGAGCUCGCGGCCUAUCAGCUAGUUGGUGUGGGUAAUGGCCCACCAAGGCGACGACGGGUAGCCGGCCUGAGAGGGUGACCGGCCACACGUGGGACUGAGACACGGCCCAGACCUCCGUAGGGAGG
rnacentral:rRNA from 1 species